GGUGACUGCGGGCCAGGAGCCGCGGUAAUACGGGGGGGGGAAUCGUUAAUCGGAAUUACUGGGCGUAAAGCGUGCGCAGGGGGUGUCGUAAGUCUGUCGUGAAAUCCCCGGGCUUAACCUGGGAAUGGCGAUGGAGACUGCGAGGCUAGAGUUUGGCAGAGGGGGGUAGAAUUCCACGUGUAGCAGUGAAAUGCGUAGAGAUGUGGAGGAACACCGAUGGCGAAGGCAGCCCCCUGGGUCAAAACUGACGCUCAUGCACGAAAGCGUGGGGAGCAAACAGGAUUAGAUACCCCUGUAGUC
rnacentral:rRNA from 1 species